GCAGCUCAGUGGUAGGGCAUCUGCCUUGCAUGCAAAAGCCCACAGGUUCAAUUCCCAUCAUCUCCA